rnacentral:rRNA from 1 species
UACGUAGGGAGCAAGCGUUGUCCGGAAUCAUUGGGCGUAAAGAGCGUGUAGGCGGCCAGACAAGUCUGCUGUGAAAACUCGAGGCUCAACCUCGAGCUGUCGGUGGAAACUGUCUGGCUAGAGUCCGGAAGAGGAGAGUGGAAUUCCUGGUGUAGCGGUGAAAUGCGCAGAUAUCAGGAAGAACACCCGUGGCGAAGGCGGCUCUCUGGGACGGUACUGACGCUGAGACGCGAAAGCGUGGGGAGCGAACAGG